AGUUGUUAUGAUUUGAGAGAGAUCCCAAUUGACUUUGCUGAAAUUUCAACAUUGAAGUCAAUUGAAUUUUCCAACUGUCUUCCUUCUGCUGUGAAAUCAGCCAUGAAAAUUCAAGAUGAGUAACGUGACUAUGGAAAUAACGAUAUAGUUGUUAUUGAGGAACAAACAUUUGAUGAAUUGGAAUCUGAGGAAGGCCUGAGAGAAGAAGAGGCAAAAGUGGAUAGCUGUUAACACUAUUUAUGAGUCCACGAAAACCCAAACUCUAAUAAAUCAGUAAUGUUGGAUGGGGAGCUUUGUAUGUAUGUGUUCUCAGGCUCCAAGGCAAAAAGCAAAUCCGGGAUGAGCAUAUAGAAGACAAUUCAAUUCUGUGACUCCG